UACUCUUGAAAAAAUAUCUACAUUUUAUAUUGCUUUAUUAUGGACAAUAAGCCAGCAAAAAUAAAUUCAUUUGGCCAAAGCUUGUUUCUCGUAACCCUGUUUAAGAACUAACGUGAGAGAUAGGCUAAAAUAUAAGCAAAUAAUUAACUGAAGGUAUAAUAUUAAAUACUAAUAGAAUAAACUAGGAUAAAAAAUUAUUUAAAAUUCUUAUGGUCCACUAAUGUUACAAUUAGCCUAAAACCACAAUCUUUUACUUUCUAUCAAGCAAACACAUGGCCCAUUAUUCAGUCACCUAUUACCUUCCCCAAUAUUCUUAACAGAAUUAAUUCACAAAGAGAUCCUAUACUCAUGACAUUAACAGAAGAAAAGUAAAACACAUGGACAAACAUUCAUGAAUGAUAAAUAAAUUAAUAGAACGACCAAGGAACUUCAAUAAAAGUGGUGAGUGUGAACCUUUACAUUCAGCGAAUAAGCCUCUUCAAUAGAUCCAAACAUGAAGCUCCAACGUCAUCAAAGAUAUACGAAAACUCGAAGCUACAACCCGGAUAAAGAACCCGAACAGGACCUGCGAUCGGAGACUGCAUUAGAACCUCGAAACUCAGCAGUAGAGAAACACAACAAAAAGAUGAGCGAUUUGUGAUGUUGAUUGGGGACUAUUUUGCUGAAGCUUUUGGGGCUGAU
rnacentral:lncRNA from 1 species